AUACUUACCUGGCAGGGGAGACACCAUGAUCAAGAAGGUGGUUCACCCAAGGUGAAGGCUAGGCCUUUCCACUCCAGGCCAUGCUGACCAUCCUUCCCCAAAUGUGGGAAUCUCGACUGCAUAAUUUCUGGUAGUGGGGACUGAGUUUGCCGUCUUUA